GUCGGUCUAAAAUGGGUCACUUUAGUUCCGCUUAACGGGUCAGAAGAACGCGGAAAUCGUGCAUGUGUUACAAAAUAGUAUAUUUCGAUACAAGUGCGAAAAAGUUGAUUCCACGCGUGUGUGAGGUUUGUCGCCCGAGCGAAGCGAGGGUGACAAUCACACGAAUGUAGAAUCAAUCUCCGCACGCGUGUCCAACAUUAUUUUUCGAUACAAGGGGCAGAAAAUGCGCUAGAACACACGCGGAGCAUGCGUAAAAGUGCAUUUUACACACACUUUAUCGAAAAAUAUGGUGUGCACCAAGGUCUAAGUGGGCUUUUUGGCCUUGUGUGGUUGCAGUACUUGUCUGCGGCUCGUAAACGUCUUCGGCUCAGGCUAACUCGCCUCGAGUCGUACACUCCACACUCGGCCUAAAAAAGCCCCCUUGGUACACAAUAUACUAUUCUGAAAUAUUAAGUCUGACUAGAAACUAACAUACCUAUAUAAACCAUAUUUCUAUCUCAUAAAAAAUGGAUAGUUACUGGCAAUUUUUAGUAAUUUUAAGUUAUAUAUUUACAUCGGCGUUUUCUACGAGGGACGCGCCCUUUAUUAACCGACUAGUCAGAUGACAAAUAGAACUCCUUCAAAAUAAGCAAUCGUAACUUUCAAGUAGGGUGAACUAUUUUCUAAAGUAAAGUGUUAAAAUAAAUAUACGUUGUUUCUAAGUGAUGUCUAUAAUAAAAAUUAACGCAACGAAGGUUUCUUUGUACGCGUCCUGCAUUAUAAAAUUAUUGUAAGUAUUUCUAGCAGUUCUAGCACAAGCUCUUACUCUAACGUAAGCGUUAUAUGUUCAUAACAAUGUGACUUAAUUCGUUUUGCCUGUAAACCACAGAUGUGUGUGUUUGUGCGUGUGUGUGUGUAUUAUUUCUUACCUGUUAAAGGAGGUUUAUGAGAAUGAACAGCGCUUGGAACACUUAUGACAAUUUUUUGAUCAGGUAUUUUAAAAAUUAAUUUUGUAUCGGUCGUUCCAAAAAUAAGUAGUUCAUAGGGUUGUUUUCCAUGUACUUCGUUAAAAUUACAAAUCAUUUCUCCAUUUUGCGUGAUCUAAAUAGAAAAAAUAAAUAUAUAUGACAUCAA